rnacentral:rRNA from 1 species
AAUCUUCCACAAUGGGCGAAAGCCUGAUGGAGCACCGCCGCGUGACGGCAGAAGGUCUUCGGAUCGUAACACUCUGUUGUAAGGGAAGAACACGUACAGUAAUAACUGGCUGUACCAUGACGGUACCUUAUUAGAAAUCCACGGCUAACUACCUCCCAGCAGCCGCGGUAAUACGUAGGUGGCAAGCGUUGUCCGGAAUUAUUGGGCGUAAAGCGCGCGCAGGCGGUCCUUUAAGUCUGAUGUGAAAGCCCACGGCUCAACCGUGGAGGGUCAUUGGAAACUGGGGGACUUGAGUGCAGAAGAGGAAAGUGGAAUUCCAAGUGUAGCGGUGAAAUGCGUAGAGAUUUGGAGGAACACCAGUGGCGAAGGCGACUUUCUGGUCUGUAACUGACGCUGAGGCGCGAAAGCGUGGGGAGCAAACA